GCCUGGAUAGCUCAGAGGUAGAGCACCUCCUUGGUAAGGAGGUGGGCGUGGGUUCAAUUCCCACUCCAGGCU
rfam:Candidatus Omnitrophica bacterium 4484_70.2 ex4484_70.2_scaffold_57, whole genome shotgun sequence.